CAAACACCCUUGACAAAGUCGAUUAAGCCAAGGCGCUCCUAAGGUACUGGGAAUGUGGGGAGUGCAGCAGCAUCAGUGCAGCACCGAUGUUCGGAUGCGACGGCUGCGAUAAAUAGUACCUGCACUUCAGUUGUGCGGGACUGACUAAGGAGCCAGAAACACCGACAUGGCGAUGCAGGUGGUACUGCCUGGUGAGGCCGCGGUCUCCGGAAUCGCCUGCAGACGAAGUCACCUGGCGUCCAUCUGCACAUCACUUGCAACAGUGAGGCCUACUGACAGCGUCUGGCAGUGUCGGCAACGUGCCAGAAAGCUAUCUGGAGUCCUGCUCACCGCAGGUCGCCGACAGGAGGGGCGACGCAUCGUCUCCGAGGUCGCCUCAGCAGCAGUGAGACCCCACUAGCCGUCUUCUUAGGCUUCAACUAGAUUGCGAACAACCUAUGCUGAGACAACGCCCAUGACGUGUGAUCCGGUACCGCUACCGCACUGCGUGCCUGUGCCCGCCGUGAGCCUCUAGUUUAUGGGUUCGACCAUGAGAAUAUGUGUUUAUGUUGCUUUUACUAUUGUUUAUACGUUGAAGUGACGAAUUGUUUAUUUUUCGCAAGCCUCCGCUGUCCGGUUGCCUGCAGCUCCAUGCAGCGCCAGCUGUACUGUUGUUUUAAUGUUGUCUCUCCGCUCAGCUGUACUGUUUCCUCUCCGCUCAUAACAACCUAUGCUGAGACAACGCCCAUGACGUGUGAUCCGGUACCGCUACCGCACUGCGUGCCUGUGGCCGCCGUGAGCCGCUAGUGCAUGGGUUCGACCAUGAGAAUAUGUAUUUAUGUUGCUUUUUAUACUAUUGUUUAUACGUUGAAGUGACGAAUUGUUUAUUUUUCGCAAGCCUCCGCUGUCCGGUUGCCUGCAGCUCCAUGCAACGCCAGCUGUACUGUUGUUUUAAUGUUGUCUCUCCGCUCAGCUGUACUGUUGCCUCUCCGCUCAUAUAUGACACCCUCUAUAUGAAUGGCACUACUGAUUGUCACACCCACUGUCCGUAUUGUCCGUAGUGGUGUCUACGCCCAUGUUAAUACAGCGUGCAGAAUCCAGAUUCUAUUGAGGAGAGUUGAGCCAAGUCACCAUAGGCUCGGGAAGAGAGCAACGUGGAGGCCCACUGCCCCUUCCCCGGCCCCCACUGGGGGCGCCAGCCACUCCAACCUUUGACUGGAUGUCAAGAGCGUCGCCACGAGGGGAACGAGUCGCCGGCCAGCCAAGGUAGCCAACGGCGUGUGAAGGUUGCCUGACCUCGAGGAAACUGAGAUGGCACCAACGGAGGUUUUGUUAAGUAGGCGACCAAAAUUCGAGCGGCAGCAACCUGGGCACCUUCACAGAUAGCAGUGCCGCGUAUCAGGGCGCCUUCGACGUUGAGCUGGGCGCCGAUCAUCAGGACGCCGGGGAAUAUGACCCAAUAUCCCCCGUAAAUAUGUGCCUCGGAAGGGAGACCCAACC